CUGCUUAACUUGAAUCAACUUGUCUCGUUCGUGUUUCGAAUGUAGAAAAUCGCCAGAUUUGCGAGCAGUAUCAUGUUGUUUGUGUGUGUCGUCCAGAUUUCCAGCUGGAAAUCCCCCCGAGCACUUUGGCAGCUUACGUGAAACAUCAGGACUUUUGUGCGGGCAAACGGCUGCGGCGAGUACUACGUACCGAUGUCUGCCGUCGUCAAGCUCCCAAGUAUCGAUGACUUUGUGGUGCUCAAGCCAAUCAGCCGAGGUGCCUUUGGCAAAGUGUACCUGGCACAGAAGAAGGGCAACAAAGAUCAGGUCUUUGCCAUCAAGGUUGUCAAGAAGAGUGAAAUUGUCCACAAGAACAUGGUUGACCAAGUACUUGCCGAACGCAAUGCCUUGGCUGUCAGUUGCAGCCCUUUUGUGGUGCGCCUAUUCUACAGCUUGCAGACACCCAGCUCCGUCCACCUGGUGAUGGAGUACAUGAUUGGUGGGGAUGUCAAGUCACUACUGCAUGCGUACGGCUUCUUUGAGGAGCCCAUGGCACGGUUCUAUGCGGCAGAGGCGGCCCUUGCCCUGGACUACCUUCAUCAUCGAGGCAUCAUUCACAGGGACCUGAAGCCGGACAACAUGCUCAUCUCUGCCGAAGGGCAUGUCAAGCUGACAGACUUUGGCCUCUCGCAGGUGGAGCGGAAGCACAUUGAACUGGCUGAUGUGCUGGGAACACCUGCGAGCCGUGCAUCUUCACGUCCUGUCCUGGGCCGCACACCAGGCCAGCUCCUAUCACUCACAUCAGACUUGUCCUUCACUGGCGCCCGUGUGAAGAGUGCAGCGGUGCGGUCAGCACCGCGACGUCAGUCGUGCCGACGACGUCUGCCACGAGGUUCCUUCUGUGGCUCUACUGGUAGCAGUCGGGAUGGUGUCCGGCGCCUUUCCAUGAAGCGGUCCCCAACCAGCCCCCUGGUGGUGGGUGCCAAGCGCCUGCACUUUGACCUGGGAACCAGCCCACCCUUGCGAAGCCCCCUGCAGAGCUGCGUUCAGUCGCCCGACGUCCUGAGCCCCGAGUGGGCCGAUGGUGUCAGCCACAGUGACGAGGUGUUUGCACCAAGACCAACUGGCAUCACUCCUGUGUGCAGUGCCAGCAGCCUGGAGCGCCGUACCCCCAAAGUGUCCAGAGGCCAGCACCGCCUGUUGGGCACCCCGGACUACUUGGCACCCGAGCUGCUCCUGGGACAAGAACAUGGGGCGCCUGUGGACUGGUGGGCCCUGGGCAUAUGUCUGUACGAGUUCAUGACAGGGCUGCCACCUUUCUGUGACCAGAGUCCGGAGGCCGUGUUUGCCAACAUCCUGCAUGGAGAGCUCGAGUGGCCCGUCGGUGAGGAGGCGUUGUCCCCAGCAGCAGAGCACGCCGUGUUGGAGCUGCUCACUCGGGAACCAGAGGCACGGCCGGGAUUCCAGGAUUCUGUGCGCAGAACUCUGCUCGCUGCCGUUUUUUGAGAGCGUCACAUGGGGCAGCUUGCUGGACCAGGAGCCGCCUUUUGUGCCAAGCCCAGACAACGACACCGACACUGGUUACUUUGAUGCACGCAACCAGAUGCAGCACCUGCAGCUCUCCAGCUUUGGCAGCUAGCCUCGUCCGCCACCACACCCUCGUCUAGUACUGGCUUGCCAGCUUUUGGACACGUACCGCAUGGUGCAUCGCCGAUUUUAGUGUGUUUUAUUUUGGUUCGUCACUUUUAUUCAUUCUUAUCUAAUAAAAAUGUCACCCUUAUUGGGGAAUGAGUCACGCCUGA